GAUCCUGGCUCAGAACGAACGCUGGCGGCGCGUCUUAAGCAUGCAAGUCGGACGGCAAGGGUUGUGCUUGCACAACUCCUAGAGUGGCGGACUGGUGAGUAACGCGUGGGUGACCUGCCCUCGAGAUGGGGAUAGCCAUUAGAAAUAGUGGAUAAUACCGAGUACGCUCAUGACCCUGUGGGGAUAUGAGGAAAACAGGCUACGGCCUGGCUCGAGGAUGGGCCCGCGUCCCAUUAGCUAGUUGGUGAGGUAACGGCCCACCAAGGCGACGAUGGGUAUCCGGCCUGAGAGGGUGUACGGACACAUUGGGACUGAGAUACGGCCCAAACUCCUACGGGAGGCAGCAGUGGGGAAUAUUGGGCAAUGGAGGAAACUCCUUACCCAGCAAUGCCGCGUGAGUGAAGAAGGUCUUCGGAUUGUAAAGCUCUUUGAUUGGGGACGAAUAAAUGACGGUACCCAAGGAACAAGCCCCGGCUAACUAUGUGCCAGCAGCCGC
rnacentral:rRNA from 1 species